GUCAUCCCCAUGCCGGCCGGCUGCUAGCUGCAGCUCCUGGAACUAGAGGAAAAGGAACCAAAGCAAGAACACUGACUCAGGGCUUGGCUGGGAUCAGCCUGGUACAGAGACUGUGCCUGCACUUGCAGAGCCUGGCAGAGAGUCACCUUCUGAUUUUCUGCCUAAAUGCAGUGGAAUUUGAAGUCAGUCACCUAGAUUCUGAUCCAGCUGCGUCACUUGUCAGCUAUUGCCUUUGUGCCCAGGAGAGUGCUGUGCUCCCAGCAAGCUAUGGGCCACCACAGUGAGUCAUGGGGCAGACAAGACAGAGUCUGGAGCAGAGGGCCCUGCAUACUUCACUAUGGGGAGUUUUGCGGCCUCACCUUGGUCUGGUACAGGGCCUCGGCCUCGGCCUUGCUCUUCCGGGCGAUCUCCUCAUACUGGGCACGGACCUCAGCAAUGAUGCUGUCCAGGUCCAGGUUCCGGUUGUUGUCCAUGGACAGGAUGAUGGACGUGUCGCUGAUGUGGGACUGGAUCUGAGCAGUCUCCUGCAGGGGAAACAAGGAAGCAUGAAAUGCCUUCUGUGACCAGAGAAAGGUCCCAAGGUGAUGGCCCUGUCCCAGAGGGAUGGCCCUAGACCAUCCCACACAGAUGGAAGCUGCACUUCCCAAAGCUUGUAAGAACAGAGCUCACAGCCCAGAGGUUCCAAUACCACAUCUGAAAACUGCUGAAUGGGUUUGAAGCAGCCCAGGAAGAAA
ensembl:lncRNA KRT73-AS1 KRT73 antisense RNA 1